ensembl:lncRNA
CCCGGCCCCGCCUGAGCCCUCGCUGGCAGCGGCGAUCGCGAUCGGAGCGCCCACCCGAGCCUUCCCCCCCACGGGCAAGGAAAGUGAAGUGGAAACAAUGUGAAAUUCACCAGCUCUGAAAUCAACAAGCUGCCGGCUCGGGAGCUACGGAGCCAACAGCGGCGUCCCCAUUUAAAGGGACAGCGCACCCGGUGGAGAGAAGAAAUAAAUACUCGAAGAGGUCUGCGCGCCCGGAUCGCUCGCCAGCGUGUGUUCCGCAGACGCGCGAGGUGCGGACGUGUUCUCUCCACACCUCCGCCGCCCCCACUGGGCUCGCCAAGCGCAUUCAAGGAUAAAAGAGUCUUCUCGGCGGCUUCUAAGGGCGUGUCCCCGCGAGGACGUCUGUCUGCGGGCGCGUUUGCAUCUCUACCCCGGGAACCCCGACACCUUUAGAUGGCGAAAGGAACCUACCUGCUUUAAGGAAUAUGAAACCGAUCUUCUCUUUUGAAGGAAAGAGAUGAAAGGAAGAAUGAAGAGAAAGACAAUUACUGAAAGAUGUUCAAGAAUGUCUGAACUUUGUUUAAAAAAUAAUGCAUACAUCCAGAGUUUUGAAGAAUGCCUGAACAGUCCACCGUCUACGGAAGUACUAAGGACAAGAUUUUUAUCCCUGUUCAGAUACUAGAAUCUCUCCUAAAAUAGAGUGAACAACCUCAGGGAUGAUCAUCAGGAGCUCAAUCCCAGAGUACGAAGACUCCAAAGUCACUUUCAGAAUGGCAGUGAAGAUGGAAGGUCGCUCGGCUCUGGAAUCUGUGCAGAGGAUUGGUGCAACACACUUCUGGGUCUGUUCAAGAGAGUCAUGGAGGCAGGUCCAGUCACAAGAAGAAACACCUUGCUGAGCAUCACACAUGGUCCGGAGGUGGAUGAACACUUGCCUCUCUCUGGUGCCCUUUCUAGGACUGUUCCUUCUCUUUAGUUGGUUGGCUGAGUAUUUGGUUUGCACUUUUUUUUUUUUCUAAUUUGGGUUGUUAUUUUUCUUUUUCCACUUAUGAAUGUAGGGCUUUCAUUUGUCUCUUACACUACUGCUGGUUUCCAUUGCUGUAAGUAGCAUUUGCCCAGGUAAAACAUUUCCCCUUCAGGUUUAAGACAAAGCUGGUUUCUUCCAAUAAGUAUGAAGGAUGGAAGGAGGGAAUUGAGGUCCCAGGUUCUCAGCAACAAUUUCUCCUUCCGAAAGGUUCUGCUAGCUUGGCCUCAACGCUAUCUCCCCUACCCACCCCUUCCCCCAGUACUGGACUAGAACACAAGGCAUUUGCACCGAGUUACAUUCCCAGAGCUUUUUAAAUUUUAGAAUAGGCUUGCCAAGACACUAACUCUCCCAGGCUGGGCUGGAACUUGCCAUCCUCCUGUUUCAGCCUCCCAGAAUGCUGAAAUUAUAGGUGCGUGCCAUCAUGCCUGGCUAAAGCUAUCAUUUUUUAAAUGGCAGAGAAGGUCUUUGGCUGUCUAAGGAAAACACAAGCCAUUGGCAUUCUUUAAAUGUGUCUAGAGCUAUGUUCCUGAGUUGCUCCCUCAGAAUCACCAACCCUGCCUGCUCUUUGACUUCUGUGGGAAAGGGAAAGAACACCUUCAGUGAAAGACAGCCCGUGACAUUACUGCCUGUGAAGCAGAGGGGAAGGACCUCCAUGUCAGAUGCAGGCAAAUGCAGGAAGGCAGGGUAGGACCCUCUCCACCACUCCCAUCUGCCUCUAUUCCAGGAAGCUCCUUCUGCUCCUGCCAGCUCCACUGGAGCUGUGUUCCAGUGGGCAAAGAAGGAAACAUCUACCUUUUACUAUUCUACUCACUAUCACAUUAAAUAGACUUGGAGUGCUUCCUGCCAUAUACUCUUCUUGGCAUUGGGGUAGAGAAAACGGAUGAGUUUCCUGCCCUCAAAAAGUCUGAUAAAUGUUAUGUUACAGAUAUUUCACUACAAUUACAAUGCUUGAUGUAAUAUUCAUACACCUUAAAAAGUUUAUCAGCUACAGCAACACAGACAGUAAGCAAGUAAACAAACAAAAGUGAUCAGUACAGGUCGGGAUUGUUACGAAAGAGAUGGGCAUCCGACGGAUGAUGGUGGGAUGUGAGGGAGCAUUGAGAUGGGAAAUAACUGUACCUGGAAGAGUCCUCAAGCUUUUCUAAGGUGGUGACCUGAGGAAGAAGGCAUCAGUUGUGUGAAGUCAAAAUUGUCCCAGGCGGAGCCAGCUGCAUGUUCAAGGGUACUGAGACAAAAAAGAACGUGGGUCUUCCGGUUCACUGUUUGCAGGGCAGUGCUGGGCUUAUUGUCUUCUACACGGGAAUUCCUGGAAGUUAGCACUGCCGCCUCCUCCGUCUCUCCUACAGUGGUGCCGAGCGCAGUCUCUGGCUAACACAGCCAGCAAUUUGGCUGAUUUACUUGGGGAUUUGACUUCAGAACUCUUUGAACUUAAGGUGAGUUCAGAGAAGUUAAGUGAUUUCCAUGGACCCCUUGAUUCCAGUCUUCAAAGCCAAUGCACCAAUUCAAUAUUUUCCUGUUAUUGCAAGUUUUCUUCUUAUUAUAACUAAACCAGAAGUGUCCUUCGGGAAUUCCAUUUCCUUAGUUAUGAAUAGAAGUGACUUAAUUAUUAUAGAUUCAGCCAGGUGACCUGAGGAUAACAGAAACAAAUUGCUGAACUGGGAAAGCAAGAUUGAAAUGCUGUGGUUCCUCUCUGGGUUAGCACUUACCUCUGGCAUGUCUGAUAUUUGAUUGAUAGUUUCAGCUUCCUUCAGUAUUAUAUAUUUUUAUGUGUGGAUGUCUGUACAGAUGUAUGCAUUUAUAACAUAGUAACAGUAACAUACAAUAAACUACACAUAUACAAGACACCUGUGAACUAGCCUCACACACAAAAAUGAAUAUUCACCAUUUUCCAAAUUUUCUUCCUGCCAUGCUGUAAUCUGUCCUUUUUUUGCUCUUCCUCCUUCCAGAGGAAGCUAUUUAUCCACCUUCAGCCCAAGGAUUAAAUGGCACUUUCUAGCAUUUCAUAUAAAUGGAAAUAUACAGUAUGUACUAUUUUUGUUCUGACUUAGUUCUCUGGACAUAUUAUUAUUUAUUUUGAGAUUCAUUCAUGUUGUCUAUAUUCACAGUUCAUUGCUUUUGUUUCAUUGUGUGGAUAACCCAGUUUGGGUUUAUUAAAAAUAAAGUUGCAUCCAGGUGUGGUGAUGCACACCUGCAACCCAGCACUCUGGGAGGCUGAGUCAGGAGGAUCACAAGUUUAAGCCCAGCCCGGGCAACUUAGUGACUUAGCAAGACCCUGUCUCAAAAUAAAAAUUGGGGGGAUAAAGGCUGGGAAUCUAGCUCAACGCAAUGGCCCUGGCUUCAAUCCGCAGUACCACAAACAAACAACAAACUAAUUAAUCAAUAGAUAAAAUUGCUAUGAACAUUUACACAAAUCUUUGCAUAGUAUAUGCUUUGCUUAUUAUGAGUAAUACCUGGCUGGCUCACAUGAUAAAGAACCACCAUGCUUCCUUUCCAAUGGUAUUAUACCAUUUCAAAUUCUUGUAGUGAUGUAUGAAAGUUCAAGUUACUCUCUGCCACAAUUGGCCACUCUGCCACAAUUUGGUAUGCUCAGUCUUUUUAGUAUUAGCAAUUUUAAUAGGUCUGCAGUUGUAUCAGCAGUGGUUCUUUCAAUGAUUUUUAGUUUUUUGAGACAGGGUCUUGCUAUGUAGUUCAGGCUGGCCUUGAACUCACCCUGUAUCACAGGCUGGCCUCAAACUCACAGCACUCCUCCUGCCUCAGCCUCCUGAGGGCUGGGAUUACAGGCAUGUGCCUCCAUGCUCAAUGAUGUUGGACAUUUUUUCCUGAGCUUAUUUGACAUAGGAUAUCUUCUUCCUAAAAUAUGUUUAAAUAAUUUUCCUG